AGAACGAACGCUGGCGGCAUGCCUAACACAUGCAAGUCGAACGAGACCGCUGACUUCGGUUGGCGCGUCUAGUGGCGCACGGGUGCGUAACGCGUGGGAAUCUGCCCUUGGGUACGGAAUAACAGUUAGAAAUGACUGCUAAUACCGUAUAAUGACUUCGGUCCAAAGAUUUAUCGCCCAGGGAUGAGCCCGCGUAGGAUUAGCUUGUUGGUGAGGUAAAAGCUCACCAAGGCGACGAUCCUUAGCUGGUCUGAGAGGAUGAUCAGCCACACUGGGACUGAGACACGGCCCAGACUCCUACGGGAGGCAGCAGUGGGGAAUAUUGGACAAUGGGCGAAAGCCUGAUCCAGCAAUGCCGCGUGAGUGAUGAAGGCCUUAGGGUUGUAAAGCUCUUUGCCCGGGAUGAUAAUGACAGUACCGGGAGAAUAAGCUCCGGCUAACUCCGUGCCAGCAGCCGC
rnacentral:rRNA from 1 species